UAGUCAGGGUUGUCAAACGCUUUCUUGGCCUUCUCUGGCAUUGACAGUAUGUUGUUCUUCAGGUACUCAGCUUUUCCCAAGGUGUUGGCAAAGGUGUUGAGGUACAGUGGCUCAUUCACAUACUCAUCCUCGGCCUUGGGUGGACCAUUGGAUGCAUUGUGAUAUUCGGGAUUAUCCAAUGCUUGAAGGUCUCCAUUUUUUCUCCGAGAAACAAAAGGGUUCUCC
rnacentral:lncRNA from 1 species